rnacentral:rRNA from 1 species
AUUGAACGCUGGCGGCAGGCUUAACACAUGCAAGUCGAGCGGGGGAAGGUAGCUUGCUACCGGACCUAGCGGCGGACGGGUGAGUAAUGCUUAGGAAUCUGCCUAUUAGUGGGGGACAACAUCUCGAAAGGGAUGCGAAUACAGCAUACGUCCUAUGGGAGAAAGCAGGGGAUCUUCGGACCUUGCGCUAAUAGAUGAGCCUAAGGCGGAUUAGCUAGGUGGUGGGGUAAAGGCCUACCAAGGCGACGAUCUGUAGCGGGUGCGCGAGGAUGAUCCGCCACACUGGGACGGAGAAACGGCCCAGACUCCUACGGGAGGCAGCAGUGGUUAAUAUGGGACAAUGGGGGGAACCCUGAUCCAGCCAUGCCGCGUGUGUGAAGAAUGCCUUAUGGUUGUAAAGCACUUUAAGCGAGGAGGAGGCUACUUUAGUUAAUACCUAGAGAUAGUGGACGUUACCCGCAGAAUAAGCACCGGCUAACUCUGUGCCAGCCGCCGCGGUAA